UGGUUCUGGCAUCGAUGAAGAACGCAGCGAAAUGCGAUAAGUAAUGUGAAUUGCAGAAUUCAGUGAAUCAUCGAAUCUUUGAACGCACAUUGCGCCCCCUGGUAUUCCGGGGGGCAUGCCUGUUCGAGCGUCAUUACACCAAUCGGGCCACGCCUGGUAUUGGGGCCGCGCCCGCGAGGGCGCCCCCCGUAAUGCAUCUGGCGGGAACCUUCGACCCCCGGCGUGUUAGAAAUACCUACGCCUGGAGCACCGAGGGGACCGCCGUCGACCACCCCAGAGAUGGGGGACCACCAAAAGGUUGACCUCGGAUCAGGUAGGGAUACCCGCUGA
rnacentral:misc_RNA from 1 species